AGAGUUUGAUCAUGGCUCAGGAUGAACGCUAGCUACAGGCUUAACACAUGCAAGUCGAGGGGAAACGACAUCGAAAGCUUGCUUUUGAUGGGCGUCGACCGGCGCACGGGUGAGUAACGCGUAUCCAACCUGCCCACCACUUGGGGAUAACCUUGCGAAAGUAAGACUAAUACCCAAUGACGUCUCUAGAAGACAUCUGAAGGAGAUUAAAGAUUUAUCGGUGAUGGAUGGGGAUGCGUCUGAUUAGCUUGUUGGCGGGGUAACGGCCACCAAGGCGACGAUCAGGUAGGGGUUCUGGAGAGGGAAGGUCCCCCACAUUGGAACUGAGACACGGUACAAACUCCUACGGGAGGCA
rnacentral:rRNA from 1 species